GGAGGAGGAGUGGCCUUGAAGGUUAGGCUGUGAGGGUAGGUAGCCUCAUGGAGUCUGUUCCCCCUUCAGUUCCAGCCUCAGCUGGUCCUGGUGGCUGCUGGAUUUGAUGCCCUGCAAGGGGACCCCAAGGUAAGGCAGGCUCCCUGGGGUGGCAGGUGGGUUGCACGGAGCCAGGCUGACCCUCCAUGUCCCCCCAGGGUGAGAUGGCCGCCACUCCGGCAGGGUUCGCCCAGCUAACCCACUUGCUCAUGGGUCUGGCAGGAGGCAAGCUGAUCCUGUCUCUGGAGGGUGGCUAUAACCUCCGCGCCCUAGCUGAAGGCGUCAGUGCUUCGCUCCACACCCUUCUUGGAGACCCUUGCCCCAUGCUGGAGUCACCUGGUGCCCCCUGCCGGAGUGCCCAGGCUUCAGUUUCCUGUGCUCUGGAAGCCCUUGAGCCCUUCUGGGAGGUUCUUGUGAGAUCAACUGAGACCGUGGAGGGGGACAACAUGGAGGAGGACAAUGUAGAGAGCGAGGAGGAAGGACCCUGGGAGCCCCCUGCGCUCCCAAUCCUGACAUGGCCAGUGCUACAGUCUCGCACAGGGCUGGUCUAUGACCAAAGUAUGAUGAAUCACUGCAACUUGUGGGACAGCCACCACCCUGAGGUACCCCAGCGCAUCUUGCGGAU
rnacentral:sRNA from 1 species